GAGCAAGUAACGUCUAAAUUAACUUUUUUUUGCUGAUGAACUGUAUAAAUGAGUGUCUAAUAGUGUUUUAAAUGUGUGUAUUCAUUAUUUUAGCAUUUUGGUGCAUUUUCUUAAAAAAUUAAAAAUUCUGCCUAAAUACCACAGUAUAGCUCCACCUUCAGCUUAAAACAUAGAAUUUGACUCAUUUUGAAUAAAUUUUAGCCAAUGGCUAAAGAGUAAGAUACUACGUAAUCCAGUAGAGUACUACGUAGCAGCUCUGUGUCAACGUUAUAAAAGCAUCGGGAGUCUCGGCCACGCCUUGUGGCGAGUUGGGAGUUGGAUUUGCAUGAGAGUGUAGGAGGCUAGCCGUAGUUCAGCAUUAGCAUAUAGCAUUAGCAUAUCCUAGUCUUUAGCAUAGCUUUUAGUGUUAUACAUACUUAUUUAGUGUUAGCUUGGCUGUUGGAUAUUGUAGUUUAGUUACUGUUUGGCUGUUAGUGUAAUUAGGAAAGUAGUUCGGGUUUAGUGCUCCAUAUCGUGUUAGCAUGGUGAGAUGGUGUAGUGUAGUAUGGUUGCGGAGCUCUGUCGGGUUGCACUCCUUUCCGCUGGACUUAGAAAUUAGGCGCCAGUGGUUGCGUGUCUGGAAAAGAUUCAGCUCCCGCCUGGUGCUGUAGUUUGCAACCAGCAUUUUACCCGCGAUUCUGCACGUCUCCGUUCCAAGAGGGAGGCUGUGCCCACCGUGGCUCUUCCGCGAUUUAGAUGCAGCCCACCGACUCUGCUCCCCCACCAUGACGGGCUACAGUCUGAGGCUAAAUCUACCCAAGACACUGGCUGUCAGACUGAUUUAGUAGUCUGCAAGAAUGCACUUGUCCAGGCUGACGUGGUGUUACCCGUAGCAAAGAGCUCACAGCCUCAGUGUCUUGUGACACAGGGACCAUGACAGAAAUUCAUCUUCCAGAAGGUCCCAGAGCAUCCACACCUCCUGAAAAGACCACGGUGUGAGGUGUCUGCUGUUGAUUCCAGCUUCCACCUCAGUGACAGUGCAAGCUCAGUGAACUGUUCAAGGAGGCUACUGAUUCUGGCCCUGUGACACUUGGUGGUCACCACCAGGUGGUGACGUGUGAGCCGAUUCACCUGGACACUCAGCAAAAUAUGGACUCUACACCAUGAGGCAGGCACACGUUAAUAACUCUAUAAGAGCACAUAAGGUAAGCAACACCACAUAUUAUUUUUAUUACUGUACACUGUCCUGGAUUUGUUUUCUUUCUGCAUGAUUUGUUUUCUUUCUGCAUCUCAUCAUUAGCCUGGCUGAUCACCUGAUAACUCCUGUCAUCUGGUUAUGACAGCAUGAGGAUGUCCUCACACACCUGUAACCUAUCAGCUCAUCUGGCAGAAUAGAGAGAGAAGAGACAACACCACAUCUCCUGUUCCUGGAAAGCCUUCAGCCAUCCUUCGAUGACUGAGAACCUCCAUCAGCUCUGUCUCCUGUCUGCCUACAAUUAUUAUAAUAAAUAUUGUGUUUGACAAGUU